UACGGGGGGGGCAAGCGUUGUUCGGAAUUACUGGGCGUAAAGGGCUCGUAGGCGGCCAACUAAGUCGGACGUGAAAUCCCCAGGCUCAACCUGGGAACUGCGUCUGAUACUGGAUGGCUUGAAUCCGGGAGAGGGAUGCAGAAUUCCAGGUGUAGCGGUGAAAUGCGUAGAUAUGCGGAGGAACACCGAUGGCGAAGGCAAUCCCCUGGGCCUGCACUGACGCUCAUGCACGAAAGCGUGGGGAGCAAACAGG
rnacentral:rRNA from 1 species